rnacentral:rRNA from 1 species
AUUGAACGCUGGCGGCAGGCUUAACACAUGCAAGUCGAGCGGAGAGAGGUAGCUUGCUACUGAUCUUAGCGGCGGACGGGUGAGUAAUGCUUAGGAAUCUGCCUAUUAGUGGGGGACAACAUUUCGAAAGGAAUGCUAAUACCGCAUACGUCCUACGGGAGAAAGCAGGGGAUCUUCGGACCUUGCGCUAAUAGAUGAGCCUAAGUCGGAUUAGCUAGUUGGUGGGGUAAAGGCCUACCAAGGCGACGAUCUGCAGCGGGUCUGAGAGGAUGAUCCGCCACACUGGGACUGAGACACGGCCCAGACUCCUACGGGAGGCAGCAGUGGGGAAUAUUGGACAAUGGGCGGAAGCCUGAUCCAGCCAUGCCGCGUGUGUGAAGAAGGCCUUAUGGUUGUAAAGCACUUUAAGCGAGGAGGAGGCUACUUUAGUUAAUACCUAGAGAUAGUGGACGUUACUCGCAGAAUAAGCACCGGCUAACUCUGUGCCAGCAGCCGCGGUAACAC